rnacentral:rRNA from 1 species
UACGUAGGGACCGAGCGUUGUCCGGAAUCAUUGGGCGUAAAGAGCGUGUAGGCGGCUUGUUAAGUCUUGCGUGAAAUCUCGGGGCUCAACCCCGAGCGGUCGUGAGAAACUGGCAGGCUAGAGUGCGGGAGAGGAGAGUGGAAUUCCUGGUGUAGCGGUGAAAUGCGCAGAUAUCAGGAAGAACACCCGUGGCGAAGGCGGCUCUCUGGAACGCAACUGACGCUGAGACGCGAAAGCAUGGGGAGCGAACAGG